rnacentral:misc_RNA from 3 species
AACGCACCUUGCGCUCCUUGGUAUUCCGAGGAGCAUGCCUGUUUGAGUGUCAUUAAAUUCUCAACUCUGAUCGAUUUGUUUCGACUUCGGAGCUUGGAUUUGGAGCGUGCUGGCGUCGGUCGGCUCCUCUUAAAUGCAUCAGCGGAAUCUAACGUUUCGGACGUCAGUGUGAUAAUCAUGUUGCGCUGUCUGUCUGAUCUGAAAGCCCGCUCACAAUGGUCUUCGGACAACUUCAUAUCAAAUUUGACCUCAAAUCAGGUAGGACUACCCGCUGAACUUAA